rnacentral:rRNA from 1 species
GACGAACGCUGGCGGCAUGCCUAACACAUGCAAGUCGAACGCGAAAGUCCUUCGGGAUGAGUAGAGUGGCGGACGGGUGAGUAACGCGUAGGAAUCUAUCCUGUAGUGGGGAUAACGUUUCGAAGGAACGCUAAUACCGCAUACGCCCCAAGGGGAAAGCGGGGGAUCUUCGGACCUCGUGCUAUAGGAGGAGCCUGCGUCGGAUUAGCUAGUUGUGAGUAAAGGCUCACCAAGGCGACGAUCCGUAGCUGGUCUGAGAGGAUGAUCAGCCACACCGGAACUGAGACACGGUCCGGACUCCUACGGGAGCAGCAGUGGGAAUAUUGCGCAAUGGGCGAAAGCCUGACGCAGCC